AAUUCACAUCUUGACCUGUUCAAUGGUUGUGUCAGCAUCAAGUUCGAUAUCCAUCCCAAUCCCAUAAUGUCAAAUCCAGGAAGCAUUUGGACCCUGCAAUUUGCUAUAACCUAAUAGUAUUAACUUUAUCGUCAGAUAAUGGGGAGGAACAAAUACCAGUCCUUUUCAUAUUUUAGCUGUUUAAUUAAUAAUUAUCACCAGAGAGUAGAAAAAUCCGAUGGAGUGUAGGGAAAAAGGAUGUCUGGAACCACGUGCCUCGAACCCAAGUUUGAUAUUAUCCUUGCUUGAUUCAAGGAAUGCAACCACGUGACCAGUUUAUCUUCUGCAACCAAUUUAAAGCUGAUCGAUUUCUUGUUGUUGAUCGCAGGAGCUAUAUAUGAGAUGGGGAACAAUGGGCUCGAAUGAUCCUACAAGAUGGAGUACAAACAUAAUCUGUGACUGUGAAGGUCCCAAUUUGACAUCACAAGAGUGGUCUACUGAGAUGGUGAACAGACCGAGGAAAUUAAGAAGGCUCUGGUGCUGGUAGGGGCCAACCAAGAGGCCAUCAUCUGCACUGCUCCAAUAUUAGACAACUGGUUUUAUGCCAACUGAGGCCCUGCCCCAUGCAUGUCUCCUUUUCCAGAUACUCUAUCAAGAAAAUAUGAUUAUGAUGGUGGAUUACAAGAAAAAACAACUUGAUAAUUGCUGUUGGCAAGUCUCACCUCCUGCUGAUAACUUAAAUUUAGUUAGGGGAAGAGAAACAGAGCAAUGAAAUGAAAGCUACCUUUUCACGUGACAAAUUUUGGCGUGAUGGAAUGGAAGAGCUACAACCUUUCCCUGCUUUAAUGGCCAGAAAAUUAUUUUCUUUUCUUAAUCCUACUAUAAGCACAGCCCGUGCUGUAUAAGCUGUCUUCCCAACUGUCAUCAACAGCAAUUUCUGUUUUCAGUGGGAGAGAACGAUAAGCAGAGAACACGAGGGUGUGUUUUCUUGCAGAAGUUCUCUCCAGCAAAGAAAGCUGGUAUCAAUCACCAUAGGUUUCUUUAUGGUCAAGGAAGAGACCAAAAAACAAAGGCCAGAAAGCAUACACGUGGACAAAAAAGCAUACAAAAAGGUUAUCCAUAUCAACAGCAAGGUGCAACACCUUAAUUAAGGACAUUAGCAGCCAUGAUAUUGCUAAAACUUGCAGCCAACACCUAAUCACCAUAGGUUUCCAGCUGUUUUUCGUUUUUCAAUAUCUACAUACAUCAAGAAUGUACUCGGCAGGCAGGCAGGCAGGCAUUGAUGCAAUGCCUUCAAUUCAACUACUUGCAUGACAACAAAUUAGUUAAACCAUCAAAACUGGAGAUUUUUCUGUCAAAUGGCAUCAAUAUCAUUUAUUUCCAUUAUAUAGCAGACUGCAACAGUUAAUGGCAUAUAUACAGGAUAUGUACAAUAUGAAGAACUUAAUCAAUUGAAAAAUCAAAUAAAAAAUUUCCCAGUGACUGCACACAAAAUAAUAGGGCAAGCUAUAUUCUUGGGAAAACUAAAUUCUAGCCAACACACUGACACUCCUCUCUUUCCUAAUGAGAAAUAAAUCAUGACUGCAAGGAAAAUAAAUAUGGCUCAAACCUGAAGAAACAUGAAAGAAUAUUUCCCAACGGAUCAUCUUGAUGCAGAGAAGAUACACGAGGCAGACUAUAAAAACAAAAGAAAAA